rnacentral:rRNA from 1 species
GACAGAGGUGCCAAGCGUUAGGCGGAAUUACUGGGCGUAAAGGGCUCGUAGGCGGCCAACUAAGUCAGACGUGAAAUCCCUCGGCUUAACCGGGGAACUGCGUCUGAUACUGGAUGGCUAGAGGUUGGGAGAGGGAUGCGGAAUUCCAGGUGUAGCGGUGAAAUGCGUAGAUAUCUGGAGGAACACCGGUGGCGAAGGCGGCAUCCUGGACCAAUUCUGACGCUGAGGAGCGAAAGCCAGGGGAGCAAACGGG